UCCGAAAUAGUAUAGUGGUUUAGUAUUCGCCCCUGUCACGGGUGAGACCGGGGUUCAAUUCCCCGUUUCGGAG
rfam:Beta vulgaris subsp. vulgaris contig170241.1, whole genome shotgun sequence.